AAAAGCCACAUUAAAGUUUCGUCGCUUGCACCGUUUGGAAACAUCAUCACGACGUCACAUUUCUAAAACAUAGAGGAACAUCAAAAAGUGUAGCCACGAUAACUGUGAAUGAUUCUAACUUUGAUAUGGUACAUCGCUUUGAACCGCGGAUGUUGUCAAAGGGUUACGACUUUUUCGUGGUCUGGCUGUCAUCCAAAUUCAUAGAACAGUAGCAGAACUAAGAAUGAAGAAAAUUGUAAAAAACGCAGGUGGGGUAACACACAACAAGAUAUCCAACAACUUUAGUAUACGCGUACGGUCUUAGAAGUGCGAACAGUUUGAAGGGGCUCCAUCGUAAUGGAGAGUCUAUAUAGACUCCCCUCCAAAGACAGACAAGCUUUGCUAUAAAGCGUGUGUACUCGAUGCGAUCUAAACGAAACGUGAUCCAGGAGAAAGCCUCUCCUUCGAUUGGUCACACAGAACGGGAUCCUGGAAAUACACUUCGAUGCACACUUUUCGAAGAUCGGAAGGGAUCAGAGAUCUGUCGUACUUAUGUAUCUUGGAUCGAUCACUAUGACCUUAUUAUCUUCGACCUUACAAUCUAACUCAUAUAUCUGGAUCAUCUUACUUGAUACUCGAUACUACGACGAAAUCUAUGAAGAUGGAUGCUCUUCUUUACCUUUCUAAUCGUAAACGCCUCGAAGAAAUUUUUAUAUUCUAAUCUUUUUUUUUGUUUAUUAAUGAACCAUAAUGUGGAUCCUCGUGAAAACGUAAAUUGUUUAUUGAUAGACUCCUUUCUAUUCGAGUAAUGGCAUAACUAAUUAAUGAUGGCAUAGUUAACGUACCGCGAGCACUCUGCCGAGAUUAAAUUUUUUCUCCCUUUUUUUUAAAUCUUUUUUCUUUUUCAUUUAAAAACUACACGCAAAUAUGGAAAGUUAAAGUGAAGUUGUUAAAAAGUUACAAAAUAUUUUUCUCCCUUUUUGUUAUUUUUUUUCUCUAACCAUUCAAUGUCAUUUUGUAAAAUUUCUAGAAAAGAUACUUAACCGAUAGAAGUACACUAAAAAGGUCAUCGAUCUUUCCUCGUUUCAGGACGAACAACCUUAAUCUGCAUCCUUAACCGUGUACAUUAAAGGGAAUAGCUUUUUAGCGUUUAUAAGCAAUGACUUGUGGUCUUGCAUGCUAAGUUGACUUUUCGAGAAAAAUGGUCACUAAAUUAGUAGUCAUUAAAUGGUCCCAUCAAAAAUAAUGUGAAAAUCGAACGGUAAAGAUAGACGAAAAACUGAAUGUAUAAAUAAAGGGUAUAAAGGAGAGUUCUUAAGUAUCUGGGUCUUGAAGACUGGAAAUAUACUUCCCUUUCACUGGCUCAAGUCAGAAAAAUCGGUACGAAUUUCUAUGUAUGUGUGUACGAUCCAUCAGGCCGGAACGUACACAUAACGAAGGAAAGCACGUAUGGAUACACUUACACACGUUUCAGUAGAAUCAUUUCAAUCAAUCAUAUAUAUAUAUGGACUAGGAGUUAUCAUGCAUGCAUGAAUGUGCACAUAAGAGAGAAAAAGCAGUAAAAAGAAGUCGAUUUUAACCCAUAACUUCUCGUAUGUAAUAUCUCGUUCGAUGAAAGAAUUUAUCUUGAAUCGAAGUAAAAGAUUUUCUUCCAUCGCUUAGAACAUUCGAGCGUAGAAUAGAAAGGAAUGGAUUUCAAGGUCAACGUACGAUGAAAAGGACUCGUCGAAUUCUCUGCUAUCACCCAUGAUACGUAUGGUAUCAUGAUCACUGAUUAUAUAAUAGUUAAAUCAGCUACUUUUAAAUUCAUGCACAUAUAUAUAUGUAUGUAUCAUUACCGUGUAAAUGAUAUAAUAAUAAUUAUUAUAGACUGUAUGAAAUCUUAGUUUUUGUAUACUAUUUAAGUCUUUGUUUAUGCAUAAUGCAUCAAUUUAAGAUUACUGGACAAAAUUAAUUAUAGGUUUUUUAAGAUUAGUUUUAAUGCAUUCGUAAAAAAGUCGAAAAUACGAUAAAAUAUAAUUAUUAUGAACAUAGUAUCACUUAUUAUCAUACAUACGGAAGAAAUGAAUAAGUAAUAAAUCUGAAAGUAUUUUUAAAUGAUCUAUAUAACGGUAAAUAUCCGUCUACAGAUAAUUAAAAUGAAAUAUUAUACACUUCCAUUCAAAAUUAUUUA